rnacentral:rRNA from 1 species
UACGUAGGUGGCAAGCGUUGUCCGGAAUUACUGGGCGUAAAGAGCUCGUAGGUGGUUUGUCGCGUCGUCUGUGAAAUUCCGGGGCUUAACCUCGGGCGUGCAGGCGAUACGGGCAAUACUUGAGUGCUGUAGGGGAGACUGGAAUUCCUGGUGUAGCGGUGAAAUGCGCAGAUAUCAGGAGGAACACCAAUGGCGAAGGCAGGUCUCUGGGCAGUUACUGACGCUGAGGAGCGAAAGCAUGGGUAGCGAACAGGAUUAGAUA